rnacentral:rRNA from 1 species
GAUGAACGCUGGCGGCGUGCCUAAUACAUGCAAGUCGAGCGAACAGACGAGGAGCUUGCUCCUCUGACGUUAGCGUCUGACGGGUGAGUAACACGUGGAUAACCUACCUAUAAUACUUGGAUAACUUCGGUAAACCGGAGCUAAUACCGGAUAAUAUAUUGAACCGCAUGGUUCAAUAGUGAAAGACGGUUUUGCUGUCACUUAUAGAUGGAUCCGCGCCGCAUUAGCUAGUUGGUAAGGUAACGGCUUACCAAGGCAACGAUGCGUAGCCGACCUGAGAGGAUGAUCGGCCACACUGGAACUGAGACACGGUCCAGACUCCUACGGGAGGCAGCAGUAGGGAAUAUUCGGCAAUGGGCGAAAGCCUGACGGAGAAACGCCGCGUGAGUGAUGAAGGUCUUCGGAUCGUAAAACUCUGUUAUUAGGGAAGAACAAAUGUGUAAGUAACUAUGCACGUCUUGACGGUACCUAAUCAGAAAGCCACGGCUAACUACGUG